CCCUCCGUCCAUGUCUAGGAAGGUGAACGUCCAAACUGGCUAGGCUCCCACUAAGCUGGAACAUGAAGUAGGACAAUGGCACGGGGUUUUGAUCCAACUGUUCCUUUUUAAAGUAACCCACCACACAGGUUGCCUGUUGCUAUCGCCGGACGAGAAGAGGCCACUCCAUUGCAGUCAUCAAUCCUCAGUUUACCCACAAGACUCCCUAAGGUUGAAGGCUGAUUGGGUUUACAGUAAUUGGUUUCUGCCUUCAUGCUGGAAACCUAGUGUUGGACGAGCACCACGGCCUUCAGCUUUGGAGAACAGUAAGCUGGAAUCUUCCUUGUUCACAACGUCCAGUCCGUCCUGUUCUGCAACUUCACAGCCUUCUCUCCAGUACCACCUGCCCAGUCCAGCUUAUCAAGACAGUGAAGUGGCCUUUGUUUCUCUGGGUUCCACAGGGACACUGUAAGGAAAACACACAGCAUUCCAUUUCUUGGCGGUGGUAGAGGAUAGAGGACAGAAUCGGCCUUUGACAUAAACAGGACUCAUCCAGAAAGUAGCUGGAGGGGAAUGUUGGCAACACACAAUUAGCCAGCUGGUCAUCUCUAUUUCAAAAUCUUGGCUUUCUCUUACUACCUCCAUUGAAUGAUGAAGUCCAUGGUGUGUGGAUCUGGGACCAGGUGCUGAGCAGACCACUUUGCCUGGGACAAGAUGAAGUUGUUUGGAAGCCUUCAUCAAACUUCUCUUCUGCUCCAGUAAAAUCAGGAAAGAGCUGCAAAAGACACACUCAGAGGAGAAUACCAUGUGAAGAUGGAGGUGGAGGUCAUGUGUUCAGCCACAAGCCAAAGGCUCUCCGGGAAUGCCAGCUGAGAAAUGCAUGGAAUAGCCCCUUCUCAGGUCCCUCCACAAGGACCCAGUCUCACCAACACCUUAACUCUGGACUCCUAGACUCAAGAAUUGUAAAAUAAAAUACAUUUUUGCUAAAUUAUCAGUUUGUGCUGCUUUUUUAUGGCAGCCUCAGAAAUUCAUAUGAUUUCUCUCAC